rnacentral:rRNA from 1 species
GUUCCCCUUCGGGGGACAAAGUGACAGGUGGUGCAUGGUUGUCGUCAGCUCGUGUCGUGAGAUGUUGGGUUAAGUCCCGCAACGAGCGCAACCCUUGAUCUUAGUUGCCAGCAUUCAGUUGGGCACUCUAAGGUGACUGCCGGUGACAAACCGGAGGAAGGUGGGGAUGACGUCAAAUCAUCAUGCCCCUUAUGACCUGGGCUACACACGUGCUACAAUGGAUGGUACAAAGGGCUGCGAGACCGCGAGGUUUAGCCAAUCCCAUAAAACCAUUCUCAGUUCGGAUUGCAGGCUGCAACUCGCCUGCAUGAAGCUGGAAUCGCUAGUAAUCGCGGAUCAGCAUGCCGCGGUGAAUACGUUCCC